UUGAACGCUGGCGGCAUGCCUUACACAUGCAAGUCGAACGGCAGGCACGGGAGCAAUCCUGGUGGCGAGUGGCGAACGGGUGAGUAAUAUAUCGGAACGUGCCCAGUCGUGGGGGAUAACGUAGCGAAAGCUACGCUAAUACCGCAUACGAUCUAUGGAUGAAAGCGGGGGAUCGCAAGACCUCGCGCGAUUGGAGCGCCGAUAUCAGAUUAGGUAGUUGGUGAGGUAAAGGCUCACCAAGCCGACGAUCUGUAGCUGGUCUGAGAGGACGACCAGCCACACUGGGACUGAGACACGGCCCAGACUCCUACGGGAGGCAGCAGUGGGGAAUUUUGGACAAUGGGCGCAAGCCUGAUCCAGCAAUGCCGCGUGCAGGAUGAAGGCCUUCGGGUUGUAAACUGCUUUUGUACGGAACGAAACGGUGAGCUCUAAUACAGUUUGCUAAUGACGGUACCGUAAGAAUAAGCACCGGCUAACUACGUG
rnacentral:rRNA from 1 species